rnacentral:lncRNA from 7 species
ACUCUCCUUCCAUUUGCUGUCUGCUCUCUUAAUGUAACUCCAUUACAGUCAGCAUUUAUGUAUCUUACAGGUCUGUCCAUAAACCAGAUGGUAUUUCUUACCGCAUGGGGACAGCAGCUAGAAGAUAAUGCAGAAAGAAAACAGACCGUGUUUGUACUUUCUAUUGUUGAAAUACUAUCAACAAGGCUUGUAGGGCCUGCUGGCUACAGGAAGUACAGUGGGAAGUGCAAGGACAGAAGGUCCUGUGACAUUGAACGGUAUGAAGCCAACAUCAGAAAUCACCUACCAUAUCCUUUCCUCCAGUGAUGAGCUGGAAAUAAGUUUCUGUGCUGUGAGUAUUUAGUUGCUUUAGAGGAGCUUCCUAGCAGCUACAGCUGCAUCGCUUCUCUGGCUGCUAGCCCAGCUAAUACCAUGGUAAUGCAGUCAUGCAGUUUGUUCUGCAGCUAAGUUCCUAUUUGAACAUCUUUACUUCCUGAAAUUGAAGAUUAAACAUCUCUCUUGUGCUUUUCUAAAGGCUUUACAUAAAUCAUUUGUGUCAGUACACACAAGAGCAAAUCCCACUCUGCUGUCGGCGUGGCUGCUCCCCAGUACGGCUCUGUUCCUAAAGAUAUGUGUGGCAUUUGUGGACCUGGCACUGCUACAGUCAGGCCAAGGACUGAUGUUAGCUGAAGUGAAUCUAGUACUUAAAAUGUCAGUAGAUUUUGUGCUCUUAAAAGUGAUGGACUAAUACUCUUUGGCUUGCAACUAGAGUAAUAUAAGUUUCUCCAAGUGUUUUUGCCAAGCUUGCUCAGUCUUGGCCUAUAUUCUUUCUGCUGUAGAGGCUUUUAGUCUGAACUAGACCAAGUACUGGGGAACAGCCUGUUGGGAAUAAUCUUGCACUAGGAUGAUGAUGACCAAAACGACCUAAUAAAUCUUCCUCACCUUUACUUUAUAUCUUUCCUUUUUCUCUUAUAUUUCUCCCUGCUAGUGGGAGAGAAUUUUGUGUCCUGUGGACCAAGAAGACAAUGACAGACCUGUGGUCUUGGUUUUUCAGUGGUGAAAAGCCAGAACAUCUCAAGGAUAGACCCACAGAAGAAGGUUUAACACUGAUGUUUACAUGGUCCUCAGGGUACAGAUGUUCUGCUGGGUAUUUCACUCUGACAAGCAGGCAGCAUUUUGUUCUCAUCAGGAUUUCCAAAUGUUUGGGGUAUUGGAGCAGAAGAAACUGUAUCUUUCUAGAGAUUAUUUUUAUGGAAUGUAUUAUGAAAAGAGGUCCUUAGGAAAUAGCAAGUCACCAGAAUGCUUAUUAAAAUGACCUUAAGGUCAGAUUCUGCCACUGUUAAUCACAAUAGUUGUUCCUUACCCUGUGAGCUUUCCCAUUGGAUUCAGUGGGAUUACUCAAGGAAUUUGGAUACUACCUGAUGGGACCAAAGUGGCAGCAAGACUAGCCUUAAUAAUUGUAGCAGCUGUAACACAACAUGCCUUUGUUUUUACCUUACCUUUUAGCUAGUUAAAAAUACGUUGCAUGACAUUUGUUUUCUUUUGAGGAUUCCCUCUUCAAAAAGAUGAAACUUUGUGUAGCAAAUGUAUUCUGUCAUUUUUGUCAUCAGUACUUUAAUAUAUGUAUUUAUUUAUAUUUAUUUAUAUGUAUUUAUUUAUUAAUAUAUUUAUUGUCAUAGUGAAGUCAUCUUUGCUAAGAUACACUUCAGGUUUUGUAUCUCUCUCUCUCUCUUUUUUUUAAACCGUGUAAUAGAAGAAAUAAACUAUUUUUACUC